UACAUUGUGAUUGUGAGAAUGUGCAGUGAUUGUGGAUAUUAUUUUUAAAUUUCCUCAAUUUUAUUACCACUUUUAUGUAAUUUUCCUGCCAAAAAUCUAAUCCUCUUCGUCUAAUUUUACUAUUAAAUAUUAAUCAGUUUCAUUUAGAAUGUAGGUAUGUUAAUAUACCUACCAUAUAGAGUAUGUGAAAUAAUUAGAGUAUUUAGUAAUGGACAUUUAACAUUGUUUCAACGUACAAAAUGUACAGACAACACACCGUAAAGCUAAUUUAAAAGCACGUGAAUUCUGGGCGGAGCACAGAAAAGGAGAAGAACUGGAAAAUCCUUAGAAGAUCAAACAUGGCUCCCGCGAUACUAGUGACGGGCGGCGCCGGGUACGUCGGCUCCCACACGGUCAUGGCUCUGCUGGAGCGAGCUGACAACGAGCACGAGAUCGUUGUGAUUGACAAUCUGGUCAACGCCUACAGAGCUGAUGGCGAAAAGAAACCGGAGCCCCUGAAGAGAAUAGAAGAGAUGACCGGCAGGAAAAUACACUUCUACGAUGUCGACAUUAGAGAUCGCGAUGGACUUAAUAGGAUUUUCGAGAAUCACAGCAUACAGUGUGUGAUCCACUUCGCAGCACUGAAGGCGGUGGGCGAGUCGGUGCAGAAGCCGCUGGAGUACUACCAGGCCAACAUAGCUGGCACCUGCACACUGUUUGAGGCGAUGCGCACGCACGGGGUGUACAAGCUGGUGUACAGCUCGUCGUGCACCGUGUACGGCGAGCCGGAGAAGCUGCCGCUGGACGAGGGCCACCCCACCGGCCUCGGCAUCGCCAGCCCCUACGGACGGUCCAAGUACUUCUGCGAGGAGAUCAUGAAGGAUCUGUGUAGAAGCGAUCAGAAGUGGAUGGUGAUAUCGCUGCGGUACUUCAACCCGGUGGGCGCGCACCGGAGCGGCCGCAUCGGGGAGGACCCCGCCGGCCUGCCCAACAACCUCAUGCCCUUCAUAGCACAGGUGGCGGUGGGAAGGCUGAAGGAGCUGAUGGUGUUCGGCAGCGACUACCCCACCGUGGACGGCACCGGCGUGCGCGACUACAUCCACGUGCAGGACCUGGCCGACGGGCACGUGAAGGCCAUCCGCCUGUUCCAGCAGCCGGGCUUCAGCGGCUUCCACGCCGUCAACCUAGGUACGUACCGCCGCUGCUGCUGCCUCCCCCCCACUGCUGCCCCACGGCGGACGGCACCGGCGUGCGCGACUACAUCCACGUGCAGGACCUGGCCGACGGGCACGUGAAGGCCAUCCGCCUGUUCCAGCAGCCGGGCUUCAGCGGCUUCCACGCCGUCAACCUAGGUACAGGCACCGGUUACUCCGUCCUCCAAAUGGUGAAAGCUUUCGAAAAGGCGAGCGGACGCACGAUCCCGUACAAAAUAGUCGGCCGUCGGGCGGGCGACAUCGCGACUAAUUACGCGGACGUCUCGCUCUCGCACCGGCUGCUGGGCUGGCGUGCGACAAGGACGCUAGACGACAUGUGCGCGGACACGUGGCGCUGGCAGAGCGCCAACCCUGAGGGAUUCCAGAAGAGCUAAUGACUGAACUGGGAGUUCUAUAAUAAUGGACAUGUCCCAAUUUUGUAUGGAGGUUGGGCCUUUAUUCCGAGUGUCAACAUGCUUGUAACUCACACCCUGACAGAUUUUCAGUGAUCUUCGCGUUCGUGUAGGGCAUUUUUAAACAAUUUAAGGAUUUUUAAACCCCCCGGUGACGCCGUAGUGGUCCCACAUGGAG